AACGAACGCUGGCGGCAGGCUUAACACAUGCAAGUCGAACGGGUGUAGCAAUACAUCAGUGGCAGACGGGUGAGUAACACGUGGGAACCUUCCUAGGGGUACGGAACAACUCAGGGAAACUUGAGCUAAUACCGUAUACGUCCGUGAGGAGAAAGAUUUAUCGCCCUUAGACGGGCCCGCGUCGGAUUAGCUAGUUGGUGGGGUAACGGCCUACCAAGGCGACGAUCCGUAGCUGAUCUUAGAGGAUGAUCAGCCACACUGGGACUGAGACACGGCCCAGACUCCUACGGGAGGCAGCAGAGGGGAAUCUUGGACAAUGGGCGCAAGCCUGAUCCAGCCAUGCCGCGUGAGUGAAGAAGGUCUUCGGAUUGUAAAGCUCUUUUGCCAGGGACGAUAAUGACGGUGCCUGGAGAAUAAGCCCCGGCAAACUUCGUGCCAGCCGCCGCUGUAA
rnacentral:rRNA from 1 species